rnacentral:rRNA from 1 species
ACCAGACUCCUACGGGAGGCAGCAGUGGGGAAUAUUGCACAAUGGGGGGAACCCUGAUGCAGCGACGCCGCGUGGGUGAAGGAGCGUUUCGGCGCGUAAAGCCCUCUCGGCAGGGAAGAAGAUGACGGUACCUGACCAAGAAGCCCCGGCUAACUACGUGCCAGCAGCCGCGGUAAUACGUAGGGGGCAAGCGUUAUCCGGAUUUACUGGGUGUAAAGGGGGCGCAGACGGCAAUGCAAGCCAGGAGUGAAAGCCCGGGGCCCAACCCCGGGACUGCAUUGGAAACUGUGCGGCUGGAGUGUCGGAGAGGCAAGUGGAAUUCCUAGUGUAGCGGUGAAAUGCGUAGAUAUUAGGAGGAACACCAGUGGCGAAGGCGGCUUGCUGGACGACGACUGACGUUGAGGCUCGAAAGCGUGGGGAGCAAACAGGAUUAGAUACCCUAGUA